AACGAACGCUGGCGGCGUGCCUAACACAUGCAAGUCGAGCGCGAAAGGAGCAAUCCGAGUAGAGCGGCGCACGGGUGCGUAACACGUGGAUAAUCUGCCUCAGGGUUGAGGAUAACCUUCCGAAAGGUUGGCUAAUACUCGGUAAGCUUACGAUGUCUUCGGACGUUGUGAGAAAAGUAGACCUCUAUUUAUAAGUUUACGCCCAGAGAUGAGUCCGCGGCCCAUCAGCUAGUUGGCGGGGUAACAGCCCACCAAGGCUACGACGGGUAGCUGGUCUGAGAGGACGAUCAGCCACACUGGAACUGAGACACGGUCCAGACUCCUACGGGAGGCAGCAGUGGGGAAUUUUCCACAAUGGGCGAAAGCCUGAUGGAGCAACGCCGCGUGUGUGAUGAAGGUCUUCGGAUCGUAAAGCACUUUCGAUCGGGACGAAAAACUUCUGGCUAACAUCCAGGGGCCUNACGGUACCGAGAGAAGAAGCACCGGGCUUAAC
rnacentral:rRNA from 1 species